UACGUAGGGUGCGAGCGUUAAUCGGAAUUACUGGGCGUAAAGCGUGCGCAGGCGGUUCGUUGUGUCGGCGGUGAAAGCCCCGGGCUUAACCUGGGAAUGGCCGUUGAAAUACUGGCGAACUGGAGUGUGGCAGAGGGGGGGGUGGAAUUCCGCGUGUAGCAGUGAAAUGCGUAGAGAUGCGGAGGAACACCGAUGGCGAAGGCAGCCCCCUGGGCUAACACUGACGCUCAGGCACGAAAGCGUGGGGAGCAAACAGG
rnacentral:rRNA from 1 species